AAAAGAACGAAGAAAUUAGAACAAAUAAUAGGGAAUUAGAAGAAUCUGUGAAUCGAUUGAAAGACCAGAAAGAUUUAUUAGAUAAGGGGACUGUCGAAUGCUUAAAUGACGAAGUAAGCUUUCCAAAAUGGAAAUUAGUUAUGUUCGAAGAAAUUAAUGGAUAUGAAUAUAAUGAAAUGGAACACAGCUCUGAUUUUGGAGAAGAGAAGAAAAGAAAGACUAAGUGAGAAAACGAUAAAGAACAUAAAUCCGGUAGUGCGCGUAGGUGUAAAAUUUACUUUUUGUGUCAUAUCUGAAUAUGUUGAACGUAUGGAGUAGAUGACAGUGGUAUUUUUCAUUAUAUAUAUUGUUUUAGAUCGUAUAGCAACAUGUAUAUACAUAUUAUAAAAAAGGCCAUUGCGACACAAACAUGUCGGAAUACUGCCACAUUUCAUUGUUAAAAAAGUAUUGUAAUCGUAUUAGUGUAUUUGCAUUUGAAAGAAAUGUUAUUUAUUGCAAGACAGUUAUUAUAUAGGCAACUAUUCACCGACAGUGUGCUACUUUUUUAAUUUCUUUUAUCUUUAAUCGCAAUGACAUUGCCAGUCAAAUUUGAUUUCAUUAAAGGCGAUAAUGUUUGUGAAGACAGCUUCUUAUCCUUUAAUUGAGAACGUAAAUAUUUAUAUACUAAACAGCAUCAUUCAGAUCUCACAUGCUGUUGCAUGCAUAUAAGAAUUCAGUACAAAUACUUCUACAAUGCAUACCUAUUUUUAAAUUGUAUGAUAUCAUCAUAUGUUUUUAUUAAAUGAU